ACGCGAUGUUUUCUUCCCGCAGGUGGGAGAGGAGGGAGCUACGCUCAGGCUGCCAGCAGUGACAGUGCCCAGGGCUCUGAUGUGUCUCUCUCGGCUUCUAGAGCGUGAGGCAGCUGCCUUGUGGGGACCGAGUGAUGGAAGAUGUGUUCACGCUUCCACUUCUUUCUCAAGAACCUCUGAUUGGGGGGCUGGCCAGCCCUGCUCCCCAGGCAUUCCUGUCAGCAGAGGCGGGGCUGGGCCCUCCCCAUCCCUGCCUUUACUUCCUGGGGCUGUGAGCUGCAACUUCCUGCUCUGUAUUGAAAUGAGACCGUGUAUUGA